UACGGAGGGUGCAAGCGUUGUUCGGAAUUAUUGGGCGUAAAGCGCGUGUAGGCGGCAUUGCAAGUCGGGUGUGAAAGCCCUCAGCUCAACUGAGGAAGUGCGCCCGAAACUGCAGUGCUUGAGUACCGGAGAGGGUGGCGGAAUUCCCCAAGUAGAGGUGAAAUUCGUAGAUAUGGGGAGGAACACCGGUGGCGAAGGCGGCCACCUGGACGGAUACUGACGCUGAGACGCGAAAGCGUGGGUAGCAAACAGG
rnacentral:rRNA from 1 species